rnacentral:rRNA from 1 species
CAGUAGCGUAUAUUAAAGUUGUUGCAGUUAAAAAGCUCGUAGUUGGAUUUCUGAACGACCGCACUGGCCCGCCUUCGAUAAGAGGGUGUGUUGCCGGUAUGAGUUGUUCAUCCUUUCAGAGAGCCGACGCCUACCAUUCACUUGGUCGGGCUCGUGCGAUCUGGAUCUUUUACUUUGAAAAAUUAGAGUGUUUAAAGCAGGCUUACGCUAUGAAUACAUUAGCAUGGAAUAAUAAGAUAAGACUUUGGCGGUCUAUUUUGUUGGUUUGCACGCCAUUGUAAUGAUUGAUAGGGACAGUUGGGGGUAUUCAUAUUUAAUUGUCAGAGGUGAAAUUCUUGGAUUUAUGAAAGAUGAACUACUGCGAAAGCAUUUACCAAGGAUGUUUUCAUUAAUCAAGAACGAAAGUUAGGGGAUCGAAGACGAUCAGAUACCAU